rnacentral:rRNA from 1 species
AGAGUUUGAUCCUGGCUCAGGAUGAACGCUGGCGGCGUGCCUAACACAUGCAAGUCGAACGGGCCGCGCCUGAAACCUAGUGAAGGCGCGGCCAGUGGCGGACGGGUGAGUAACGCGUGGGCAACCUGCCGCGCACAGGGGGACAACGGCCGGAAACGGCCGCUAAUACCGCAUAAUCCCGUGGGGCCGCAUGGCCCUGCGGGGAAAGCCCGGGGCGACCCGGACGGUGCGCGAUGGGCCCGCGUCCGAUUAGCUUGUUGGCGGGGCAGCGGCCCACCAAGGCGACGAUCGGUAGCCGGCCUGAGAGGGCGGACGGCCACACUGGGACUGAGACACGGCCCAGACUCCUGCGGGAGGCAGCAGUGGGGAAUAUUGCACAAUGGGGGGAACCCUGAUGCAGCGACGCCGCGUGGGUGAAGGAGCACCUCGGUGCGUAAAGCCCUAUCGGCAGGGAAGAAACAGACGGUACCUGACUAAGAAGCCCCGGCUAACUACGUGCCAGCAGCCGCGGUAAUACGUAGGGGGCAAGCGUUAUCCGGAUUCACUGGGUGUAAAGGGAGCGUAGACGGCGACGCAAGUCUGGAGUGAAAGCCCGGGGCCCAACCCCGGGACUGCUCUGGAAACUGCGUCGCUGGAGUACGGGAGGGGCAGGCGGAAUUCCUGGUGUAGCGGUGAAAUGCGUAGAUAUCAGGAGGAACACCGGCGGCGAAGGCGGCCUGCUGGACCGUGACUGACGUUGAGGCUCGAGAGCGUGGGGAGCAAACAAAAUUAGAUACCCUGGUAGUCCACGCCGUAAACGA